rnacentral:rRNA from 1 species
UACGAAGGGGGCUAGCGUUGCUCGGAAUUACUGGGCGUAAAGCGCACGUAGGCGGUUUCUUAAGUCGGUGGUGAAAUCCUGGAGCUCAACUCCAGGACUGCCUUCGAUACUGGGAAACUUGAGUCCGGGAGAGGUGAGUGGAACUGCGAGUGUAGAGGUGAAAUUCGUAGAUAUUCGCAAGAACACCAGUGGCGAAGGCGGCUCACUGGCCCGGUACUGACGCUGAGGUGCGAAAGCGUGGGGAGCAAACAGG